CAGGGGCCUGGCAGGCUAUAGCCCAUGGGGUCCCGAAGAGGCGGACACAACUGAGUGACUUUCACUCACAACAGGGGGGAGCUAGCUGCACCCAGGGAAGGGCAGAGGAGGAGGUGUAGCCACGGCUGAGAGUGGGCCUGCCACUGUUCCGCAUUCCCUGGAUCCUCCUCCUGCCGGUCCUCACGCUUAUCCACACCGAGGAUGAGACCGGCUUCUACCUGCUCUGUCCCCAAUGCCACCACAGGCUCAGGCCCCGGCAUGGUCAGGAGUGGCGACCCCGAUUAGGUUACAAGGAACCAGGGGGCCUACUCCCGCGCAGAUGGAGCCACGCACGCAGUUGUUCCAAGAGCUCGGGGCGCGAGUCCUAGAGCCCUGCUGGCAGAAGCGGAGCACCAGAGAGCCUCCACCGCCCAGCCGCCCUCCCCCACUAUGAAAAUCCUGCCGAAACAGUGGCUAGAAGCACCGGACAGCUACAAAGACGUGCUCUGUUGACUCUUCUGGGCGUUAUCAGUGGUUGAAGAACUGGACUGCUUGGAAACACCUGAGCAAUUAUUUCCCCAUUAAGGUAACAGGUCACCCUCCAAGGGAUGCUCCACUCCUCCCGCUCCCUUACCUCCCACCUCCUCUCUCCUUCCCAUGAUGGAUUCUCACCUCUGGCUGCUUACGUUCAGGUAACGGGGCAGGGGGUGGGAUGGUGUUCCAGACUGGACCCUCAUGCCUUUGACCCCAUCUUAGACCCUAAACUCUCAGGUCUCUUGGUGGGGGCGGAUACCCUUUCAGCUGGGGUCCUGCCUUCUCUGCUUUCUUUCCUUCAUCCUGCCCCCUGCCGCCACAGCUGGUGAAAACAGCAGAGCUGCCCCCAGACAGGAGCUACAUGCCAGCGUCCCGCCCACAUGGGGUCAUGGAUGUUGGAAGCUUCUGUAACUCCUGGGCUGAGAGCACUGGCUCCUCCCAGCAGUUCCCAGCGUCUCGGUUCUCAGGUUCACGCUGAACGGCAUGUUCCACCACCCAGUCUGUGGAGACCAUGUUACGUCCUGCAGUGAGACCAGGGCGGAGUGACAGAAGGCAACCCCACCUCAAUCCGGAAAGAGUGGUCCCCGCUCACCACCCAGCGCAGGCACUUGGCUUGAACAUUGACCAGGCUCACC